rnacentral:rRNA from 1 species
GAUGAACGCUAGCUACAGGCUUAACACAUGCAAGUCGCGCGGCAGCAUGGGGGUUGCUUGCAACCCCUGAUGGCGACCCGCGCACGGGUCAGUAACGCGUACCCAACCUGCCCUUCACCUCGGGUUAACCCGGCGAAAGUCGUACUACUACCGUGUGUUUUCUAUUUACGGCAUCUUGUUUGGUCUCAGCGCUUGGCGAUGGACGGAUGGGGUUUCGUCCGAUUAGCUUGACGGCGGGGUACCGGCCCAUCGUGGCGAAGAUCGGUAGGGGUUCGGAGAGGAAGGUCCACAAGACGGGAACUGGGACACGGGGCAGACUCCUACGGGAGGAAGGAGUGAGGAAGAUUGGGCAAUGGGCGUAAGCCUGAAACAGCCAAGUAGCGUGCAGGAGGACGGCCCUAUGGGUUGUAAACUGCUGUUAUGCGGGGAUAAAGUGGCACACGUGUGGGCUUUUGCAGGUACCGCAUGAAUAAGGACCGGCUAAUUCCGUG